AUCGCUUCUCGGCCUUUUGGCUAAGAUCAAGUGUAGAACUGUCUUACCAGCUCAAAGAUAAGGUGAUAUUAAAAAUAUUAAAAAUGGAAAUUUUCUUAUAAUCAUAGAUAUGAUAUACAUUUUUCUCACCCUGUCAUUGGCAGAUGGGCAUCCAA
ensembl:snRNA U2 U2 spliceosomal RNA